GCUUCCAUAGCUCAGUUGGUAGAGCACUUCCAUGGUAAGGAAGAGGUUCUGUCGUUCGAGUUAAACCUUGGAAGGA
rnacentral:tRNA from 1 species